UACGUAGGGGGCUAGCGUUGUCCGGAAUCAUUGGGCGUAAAGCGCGUGUAGGCGGUCCGGUAAGUCCGCUGUGAAAGUCGAGGGCUCAACCCUCGAAUGCCGGUGGAUACUGUCGGGCUUGAGUACGGGAGAGGCGAGUGGAAUUCCUGGUGUAGCGGUGAAAUGCGCAGAUAUCAGGAGGAACACCGAUUGCGAAGGCAGCUCGUUGGAACGUUACUGACGCUGAGACGCGAAAGCGUGGGGAGCAAACAGG
rnacentral:rRNA from 1 species